rnacentral:rRNA from 2 species
GAUGAACGCUGGCGGCGCGCCUAACACAUGCAAGUCGAACGGUUAAAGCACCUUUUAGGUGUGUAUAAAGUGGCGAACGGCUGAGUAACACGUGGGCAACCUGCCCUCCUCUUGGGGAUAGCCUCGGGAAACCGAGGAUAAUACCCGAUACUUCAAUGUGGCCGCAUGACGACAUUGAGAAAGCUUUUGCGGAGAAGGAUGGGCCCGCGGCCUGUUAGCUUGUUGGUGGGGUAGAGGCCUACCAAGGCAAUGAUGGGUAGCUGGGUUGAGAGACCGACCAGCCAGAUUGGGACUGAGACACGGCCCAGACUCCUACGGGAGGCAGCAGUGGGGAAUCUUGCACAAUGGGCGAAAGCCUGAUGCAGCGACGCCGCGUGCGGGACGAAGGCCUUUCGGGUUGUAAACCGCUUUCAGCAGGGACGAGGCGAAAGUGACGGUACCUGCAGAAGAAGCCCCGCUAACUAC